CGCCCUUAGAGUUUGAUCCUGGCUCAAGACGAACGCUGGCGGCGUGCCUAACACAUGCAAGUCGAACGGAACUGUUUUGAAAGAUUUCUUCGGAAUGAAUUUGAUUUAGUUUAGUGGCGGACGUGUGAGUAACGCGUGAGUAACCUGCCUUCAAGAGGGGGAUAACAUUCUGAAAAGAAUGCUAAUACCGCAUGAUAUAUCGGAACCACAUGGUUUUGAUAUCAAAGAUUUUAUCGCUUGAAGAUGGACUCGCGUCCGAUUAGUUAGUUGGUGAGGUAACGGCUCACCAAGACCGCGAUCGGUAGCCGGACUGAGAGGUUGAACGGCCACAUUGGGACUGAGACACGGCCCAGACUCCUACGGGAGGCAGCAGUGGGGGAUAUUGCGCAAUGGGGGCAACCCUGACGCAGCAACGCCGCGUGAAGGAUGAAGGUUUUCGGAUUGUAAACUUCUUUUAUUAAGGACGAAAAAUGACGGUACUUAAUGAAUAAGCUCCGGCUAACUACGUGCCAGCAGCCGCGGUAAUACGUAGGGAGCAAGCGUUGUCCGGAUUUACUGGGUGUAAAGGGUGCGUAGGCGGCUUUGCAAGUCAGAUGUGAAAUCUAUGGGCUCAACCCAUAAACUGCAUUUGAAACUGUAGAGCUUGAGUGAAGUAGAGGCAGGCGGAAUUCCCCGUGUAGCGGUGAAACGCGUAGAGAUGGGGAGGAACACCAGUGGCGAAGGCGGCCUGCUGGGCUUUAACUGACGCUGAGGCACGAAAGCGUGGGUAGCAAGCAGGAUUAGAUACCCUGGUAGUCCACGCUGUAAAC
rnacentral:rRNA from 1 species